rnacentral:rRNA from 1 species
AUGGAUUUACCUGGACCAAUACAUGAGAUUCUUAUGCUAUUUGGGGGAUUUGUUCUUCUACUAGGGGGUCUAGGAGUAGUAUUACUUACCAAACCCAUUUAUUUUGCCUUUUCGUUGGGAUUAGUUCUUAUUUGUAUAUCCUUACUAUUUUUAUUAAAUUCCUACUUUCUAGUUGUCGCACAACUUAUUAUUUAUGUGGGUUCACUUCAUUCGUUUGUAUAA